rnacentral:rRNA from 1 species
AUGAACGCUGGCGGCGUGCCUAAUACAUGCAAGUCGAGCGAACAGACGAGGAGCUUGCUCCUCUGACGUUAGCGGCGGACGGGUGAGUAACACGUGGAUAACCUACCUAUAAGACUGGGAUAACUUCGGGAAACCGGAGCUAAUACCGGAUAAUAUAUUGAACCGCAUGGUUCAAUAGUGAAAGACGGUUUUGCUGUCACUUAUAGAUGGAUCCGCGCCGCAUUAGCUAGUUGGUAAGGUAACGGCUUACCAAGGCAACGAUGCGUAGCCGACCUGAGAGGGGGAGGGGCACCACGGAAAGGGGAAAACGGACAGGACACCUAGGGGAGGCAGCAGUAGGGAAAUUGCGGAAAUGGGGGAAAGCGUGAGGGAGCAACGCGGGGGGGGGGAAGAAGGGUUUGGGAUGGUAAAACCCUGUUAUGAGGGAAAAAAAAAUGGGAAAGUAACGAAGAAGGUUUGAAGGGUACCAAAACAGAAACCCAGGGCAAACAAGGU